rnacentral:sRNA from 1 species
AAAAAAGUAAGAAAACUUUCUAACGAUGAAAUAAUCUAGUAUAUCAAAUAGUAUAAAAUCUUAUUAAAAGACUCUAGAAGAGCAUAUACAUUGCUUUCUAUGGGAAUACAUCGAUGCGGUAUAAUUCUCCAAAUCUUAAAGUUAAUAUGAUGAGAGAUAAAAUACAUUAUGAUUCUAGAGUGGAAUUAAAAACGAGAUGGAUGAACUUGAAGUUUCAUCAUUUCGAGGAGGAGAAGUAAUGAAUCUCACAUGGAUAAUAAGUGACAUAUCCAGAAGAUUAUGUUCAAUCUUUGACUACUAAAGAUCUAAAAGUUGUAUAAAGCAAUUCUUAUACGAAUGU